rnacentral:rRNA from 1 species
GACGAACGCUGGCGGCGCGCCUAACACAUGCAAGUCGAACGGAGCUUAGAGAGCUUGCUUUUUAAGCUUAGUGGCGAACGGGUGAGUAACGCGUGAGUAACCUGCCCUAGAGUGGGGGACAACAGUUGGAAACGACUGCUAAUACCGCAUAAGCCCACGACCCGGCAUCGGGAAGAGGGAAAAGGAGCAAUCCGCUUUGAGAUGGCCUCGCGUCCGAUUAGCUAGUUGGUGAGGUAACGGCCCACCAAGGCAACGAUCGGUAGCCGGACUGAGAGGUUGAACGGCCACAUUGGGACUGAGACACGGCCCAGACUCCUACGGGAGGCAGCAGUGGGGAAUAUUGCACAAUGGGGGAAACCCUGAUGCAGCGACGCCGCGUGGAGGAAGAAGGUCUUCGGAUUGUAAACUCCUGUUGUUGAGGAAGAUAAUGACGGUACUCAACAAGGAAGUGACGGCUAACUACGUGCCAGCAGCCGCGGUAAAACGUAGGUCACAAGCGUUGUCCGGAAUUACUGGGUGUAAAGGGAGCGCAGGCGGGCGAUCAAGUUGGAAGUGAAAUCCAUGGGCUCAACCCAUGAACUGCUUUCAAAACUGGUCGUCUUGAGUAGUGCAGAGGUAGGCGGAAUUCCCGGUGUAGCGGUGGAAUGCGUAGAUAUCGGGAGGAACACCAGUGGCGAAGGCGGCCUACUGGGCACCAACUGACGCUGAGGCUCGAAAGUGUGGGUAGCAAACAGGAUUAGAUACCCUGGUAGUCCACACCGUAAACGA